CGUGUUGGAGGUCGACUAAAGAACGCGAACAUGAGUGCUGAAAUGAAACAUCCCAAAAUAAUUCCCAACAAAGGCCGUUUAGCCGAAUUAUUAAUAAACGAAGCACAUGGGUUAACAUUUCACGGAGGGCCUCGACUUACCUUAACAACACUCCGACAACAAUACUGGAUAACUAGUGGAUACAAUACAACCAAAAAACAGUUAAGGAAUUGUGUAACAUGUCGUAGAUAUGAUACAAAGAAGUUGUACCAGCUAAUGGGUGAUCUUCCUGCUGCUAGAGUCAACCAGGCUGCGCCAUUCUACCAUACUGGAGUAGAUUAUACUGGUUUUGUAGAUGUCAAGAUCAACAAAGGAAGAGGUGUGAAAACAACCAAAGGAUACAUCGUCGUAUACGUUUGCUUGGUUACGAAGGCGGUAUACUUGGACUUAGUCUCUGACUUAACGAGCUCAGCAUUCUUGGCUUCACUCAGAAGGAUGGCGGCCCGAAGGGGAGCACCGCGCCACUUAUACAGCGAUCAAGGUACGAACUUCGUUGGAGCCAACCGAAUGCUACAGGAAGAAUAUGAUACUUUAUGCCAUGUCCUUAGUGACAGUCUUUUGGCUGAAGUUGCAGAAAUGAACAUUGAAUGGCAUUUCAACGCACCCUCUUGGCCGAGUGCAGGAGGCCUGUGGGAACGAGCCGUGCAGAGCUUGAAGUGGCAUUUAAAAAGAGUCGUAGGAGAACAAAAGUUAACGUUUGAAGAGUAUUGCACUAUCUUAGCACAACUGGAGGCCUGUCUUAACUCUAGGCCAUUGUGUUCUUUAACAGAAAACAUAGAAGACCUGGAUUACCUGUAACCAGCACAUUUCUUAAAUGGAAGGGUGGGGGUAACCGUUAUAGAAACAAAAGAGGACGCUAGAACUAGAUGGCAUUUGACCAACAGCAUAUUCAAACAGAUUUGGCAUAAUUGGAAGACAAACUAUUUAACACAAUUAACAACGCGGCAGAAGUGGGUGAAGCCACAAACAAACAUGAAGAUUGGAGAUAUGGUGGUUAUUCAUGAAGACAAUCUUCCGGCUGGAAAAUGGCUCAUGGGUAGAGUCAUAGAAGUGUUUCCCGGCAACGACGGCUAUGUCAGGGUGGUAUCGCUCAAAACAAAAAAUUGCAUUAUACAACGACCUGUCGUCAAACUGUCUAAAUUGCCCAUUGAAUCAGCUGAGCAAGUGGACAAUUCUGACUAUAAGAAAACACAAAAUGAUUGUUCUUCUCAACCUACAAAACACAAGCAAAAACAAUCAAGACGUGGAAGACUAUCGUGUAUGGUGAUGGCAUUAAUAUUUUUCAUGUCAUUAUGCACCAGCGAUGCCUGUAACAUAACCGAGCUGAAAGGUGAUCGAUCAUUAUAUUUUGAUCCCGUAACAAAAUUAUAUUUAAUAAAGAACACUUGGAACUUGGUUGUAUAUUAUAACAUGUCUCCAUAUCGAGAAGGAAUGAAGGCAUUCGAAAAGGCGACAACACAUUUAGAUAAAUCAUGCAAAGUCCUGGAAGAUGGUCAGUGUAGCAUAAUAGUCGAUCAAUUGAUCCACGAAUACAAAGAAUUAACUUACUAUAAUGAGCUACUUAUGAAUCAACAUUUGAAUGAGCACUACAGACAGCGUCGUGGUUUUAUCAACGGUGUCGGAUAUCUUGCUAACUCUCUGUUCGGAGUAUUAGAUGAACAUUUCGCAGAAAAAUACUCGCAAGACAUAGAGCUCGUAAAACAUAAUGAACAGUACUUAGUGAGUUUAUGGAAAAACCAAACUUCGAUCGUCGAAUCUGAAUACAACUUACUAAAAAGAACAGAAGAAGUCAUGUCUAAGCAACAUAAGACUAUUAAUAAACACAUAACUAACCUAGAAAACAUGUCAAAUCGACUUCAACAGCAAGUAAACAACAUAUCGAUUCUACAAGAAUUUACCUUAAUGUCCAUUAUUACAACUAAUUUAUUGCACAAUUUGAAAGGGUCGCAAAAUAUAUUGUUAGACAUUUUAACUAACAUACAUCAUGGUCAAUUCAACAUUCAUUUACUUACUCCAGAACAACUUCAAAAGGAACUAAACAUUAUCACCGGAUAUUUACCGGAAGACACAAUUCUUCCCGUAGAACCGCAGAAUAUUAAGAAUUUGUAUCCUCUGUUAAACAUAAAGGCUCGUAUUACUCUACAAUAUUUCUUAUUCGAGAUAACAUUUCCACUCAUUUAUCAAGAUCGAUUCAAACUUUAUAAAGUACAUUCUAUUCCUCAUCAAAGCGGAAAUAUGACUAUUGAAGUAGUUCCGGCAUACGAAUACAUUGCUACCGACUUGAAAAGAGAUUCCUUUCUUGAACUCACCACCGAAGAAGUCUUAUCCUGUAAUCAACAAGAAGAAGCUUACUACUGCAAGCUUAGAACGCCGAUUCUUCAUUUACGACCGGAGACUAAGUUUUGUAAGAUUAAACUUAAUAGCAACGUAUGCAAAUUAAAGUAUUCUAAUUGUGAAACCAAAAUAAUAGCACUAACUCAUCUCUCUUUAUAUUUAUAUCACUGCUGUGGCACCUGCGAAGUAAAGGUCAUGUGCGGAGAACAUAUUGCCUUGAAACAGUUGAAUAACACUGGUCGUCUGUAUCUAGAGCCAGGUUGCCUCAUAAAGGGAUCAGAUUAUACACUUCAUAUCCCUAAAACAAACAACAAUAAGCUGGAGAUUCAGUCUAACAUUUACGUUCCAAUAAUAGAUCCCAUAAAUAAUAUCAUAAACAGCUCUCUUCUCAACACUGAGAACCUGAAUGUCAGCGAGUCUAAAGAUUUGCAGAACGCUCUCCAGAAACUACACGUGCGUAUUGAAGAUCUAGAAAACUCCCCGCCAGUAUUGGAGACUUCAUUAACAUCUCACGAUAUUCAUCAGUAUGUGAUAACAUACAUCAUCGUCAUCGUCAUCGUGCUGGCCACCGGCGUGCUACUCUGGCGACGACGACGGUUGAGUGCGAACCGGGCGAUCAUCUCUGACGGCAUCGAGCUUCAACAGUAUAGUGAAUGUGAAAAUGUAAAUAGUGCUAAGGCAGGGUUUAGUGCGCGACCUUCUGUGGUGGACCCUUCGCCUGGUGAUGUGAACAUUUAUGCCAAAGUGUCAAACAAAGCGUGCUCUCCAAUACCAAGAAAACCUAUAUGGACCCUAAGUUCUUAAAUUGUAUUAUACUAACAUUUUAAUUUAAUUUUUGUUUGUCUUUCAUCCUCUUGUAAGCCGUAAUCAUCUAUUUACUAACAAUUAUUUCAUUAAAGUAUACUCUAUUUUGUUGCCCCGGAAUAUGUUCGGUGAUAUAUUACCGAACACCUUUGUCAGCAUAAUUCGCGUGACGCGUUAACUUCAUUUCCACUAUUCGUCAGUGCACGAUCAACAACCGCGUCACCCGGGUGCAUUCAUAACAUUAACAUUUAAUUUAAUUUAUCUAUAUUUUAACAAUAAACAUUUUUAAGUAACAUUAUCUUUAACUAACAAACUCACAUCGCACCCUACACAGUACGUUACAAGAACGGUUGCAACACUCAUGUAACCACGGUACUUUUUGUCAUAAAAAUAUUUAAAGAUUGACGACACAGUAAUUAUAUCAAUCGAGCUAUCGCCAUGAUGCUUCAGUUGAUUUAAAUAUAUAUUAUUUAGCAUACGUAAUUGUGUCUACAAUUUAAGGAACGACAACUCGAAUCAGACAACGUCUUUGUUAGGGUCCACCGAUUUUUAAAAUGAUGUUCUUCAAAUCGAUAAUGUAUGUUUCGGGUUUUAAUAUAUAAUAGUAAAUUAGUGUUUCCCUAUUGGACAAGGUUAUUAUUUAUCAAAGAAAAUAAAAUCUACUAAAAAAAUAAUUGAAAAAGAAAUUUGUUUGAGAAACAUAGGAAAAAAUGGUACCAAACUGUCUUAUUGAUAAAGCUAAGCUCAUCAAUAGCCGUUUAAUAAAAAUAGGAAAAUCGGUUUAACUAAACUCUAGAUUUGAUUAAAAAGAAUUUGAAUGUCAAUGUCAGUAAUCGAUUGAGAUAAUGAUCUUACGGGUGGUUUUUUGAAAUUAAGAGUUUUUAAGACAAGAUUCACUAGAUUUCGCCUUAUCGUCUCACAUACAAUAUACAUAUGUAUGUGUAUACUGAUUAAGUAUUGCACACAACUCAAAUAAAUACGUAAUUCACACUUGCAGGGACAGUACACGUUAUUGUUUAUACGGCUAACGAAGACAUUAUUUAGGUAACUAACAUUGUUUAUAACUUAUACUGAAUAUCCCACGGGAGACGUCACAGAGAUUCCGUACAAGAUAUACGUUUGAAAUGUCUCAUACAAAUAAAAACAUGAAAUAUGUUUUAUUUAAUGUUGUAAUAUUAUGUACUCCUCUAUGUGUAUUAUGUAAUGAUUUAAUCACGUACCUAUAAACUUAUUGGUGUUGAUUAAUAGUUCCCAAUAUGUGUGUUAUAUCAUUUAACUAUGUAUUUAAAUCGUUUUAAUGUAAAUUAAAAAAUAAAGCGUUGAAAAAUA